GCGGGUAUGGUUUAGUGGUAGAAUGCGACCUUCCCAAGGUUGAGACGCGGUUUCGAUUACCGCUACCCGCACAA
rnacentral:tRNA from 1 species